rnacentral:rRNA from 1 species
CCUACGGGUGGCUGCAGUGGGGAAUAUUGGACAAUGGGCGAAAGCCUGAUCCAGCCAUGCUGCGUGUGUGAAGAAGGCCUUCGGGUUGUAAAGCACUUUCAGUGGGGAAGAAAGCCUUGGGGCUAAUACCCUCGAGGAAGGACAUCACCCACAGAAGAAGCACCGGCUAACUCCGUGCCAGCAGCCGCGGUAAUACGGAGGGUGCGAGCGUUAAUCGGAAUUACUGGGCGUAAAGCGCGCGUAGGCGGUCUGAUAAGCCGGUUGUGAAAGCCCCGGGCUCAACCUGGGAACGGCAUCCGGAACUGUCAGGCUAGAGUGCAGGAGAGGAAGGUAGAAUUCCCGGUGUAGCGGUGAAAUGCGUAGAGAUCGGGAGGAAUACCAGUGGCGAAGGCGGCCUUCUGGACUGACACUGACGCUGAGGUGCGAAAGCGUGGGUAGCAAACAGGAUUAGAUACCCCUGUAGUC